CAGGUAUUCCAAAGUUCAUAGACUCCUGAGUCCUGAAUAUCCUGAGUUGGAAGGGUCCUACAAGGACCAUCAGGUCCAGCUCCUGGCCCUGCACAGUCAUUCAAAGGAAUCUACUCCACAGCAGUGAACAUCAUACAUGAUUUGGCACUACUGAAGAUGUUUACUGCAGUGUUUAAUGAACACACUACAUCUUCCAAAUUAAGGAGCUGCACAGAACAAUGCUUUGGUACUUUGUGAUCUGAUGAAAUGUAGUUGGAGACACCACAAU